AUGGGCUCUUAUCUAAGCACUGCAAUCAGUAAGGCUCAAUCCAUGGAUUCAGACGAGGUACAUGGAUCAGUUUCAAACAAAAGGGCCAAGAUAACCGCAUAUGUUUGUGGGUCAUAUUCAAGGAUAAUUCCGACUCUUCCUGAUGAGCUUUCAUUUCAAAUUCUAGCAAGGUUACCACGGAUUCAUUACCUAAAGAUGAAGUUGGUUAGCCGAACUUGGAAGGCGGCAAUCACCGGCACUGAGCUUGCCCAGCUGAGAAAAGAGCUUGGGUUAACUGAAGAAUGGUUGUAUAUACUGACCAGAGUUGAGGCAAAUAAGCUUGAAUGCUAUGCACUCGAUCCAUUGUUCCAGAAAUGGCAAAGGCUGCCAUCCAUGCCUUCAUUCGCCAAUGAGGCGGAUUCCACUGGGAGGACGCAGUAUUCUGUGUUUCGGAUGUGGAAUGCAGUGGGCUCAAGCAUCAGGAUUGCUGAUUUCUUUAGGGGAUGGUUUUGGCGCCGAUAUGGUUUGGAUCAAAUGCCUUUUUGUGGGUGCUCUGUCGGAGUUGCUGAUGGUUGCUUGUAUGUCUUAAGGGGGUUUUCCAAAGCUGUUGCCUUGAAUUGCGUGUGGAGGUAUGACCCUUGUGUCAAUUUGUGGCAGGAAGUUAACCCGAUGAUAUCUGGUAGGGCUUUCUCUAAGGCAUCAUUAUUGGAGAGUAAGUUGUAUGUGGUUGGUGGUGUUAGUAGGGGUCGGAACGGAUUGCUUCCUCUACGGUCGGGUGAAGUGUUUGAUCCGAAAACUGGUUUAUGGAGUGAGUUGCCGGAAAUGCCUUUCGUGAAAGCACAGGUAUUACCGACAGCUUUCUUGGCCGAUGUGCUGAAGCCUAUCAUCCUAUAA
rnacentral:rRNA from 1 species